UCAAAAAACAUUCAUAGUUCAUAAAAAUAAUUUUCAGUAAUUCAAAUGUUCAAUUUUAUUAUAAUAUGUAAUUGGUAAACAAUUUCUUGCGUAGAUACAUGUAAAUAGUUAUAAUAAAAUGUCAAUAUUCAAAUUGAGUCCGGUGCAUUCUUGCGAUAUGCAUAUUUAUAUUUAUUCCUGCAUGAAGACAAUAACAGUAAGCCCAAGAUUCAAUACAUGUACCAUAAUUAUUAACAAAAUAAUUAGCAAAAUCAACAGUGUCAUCAUUAGCUGACAAUAUUGGUUUACAGCUUCUUCAAAAAUUAUUUCAAAGGAUUUUGGAUCUUGUUCAUGAAGUAAAGUCCUCAAAAGUUUGCACGAUCAACAUAAAUUAUAUAUGUUUCGGACGUUUCAUUUCAACAAUCCAUGCAUUGGAAAAAUUUUCAGCCAUAUCGGACAUAAAUACAUUGGGUUGCAAUUGUCCUGUUAAUGAUUUUAUUUUAGAAUAAAAUAUUGUCAGUACUGCUUCAUUGAUACGAUUAUUAAUCAUAAAGGCACAUGAAAACCUUCUAUCAUAUCGUCAAGUACUAAGAGUGUUGUUAAAUUAAAGUGAUAGGAAUUCAUACCAUGAGGUUCAUCUAUACAAAUUACAUCAUGUCUAUAUUUACUAUUGAUAAUAGCAUAUGGCCAUUUGGCAUUUUCUGUUACAGUAUAGAAAUUGUUGAUAUAUAAACAUUCUAUGAAAAUGUCAUCUA